rnacentral:rRNA from 1 species
UCUUGAAGCACGGACCAAGGAGUCUAACAUGUGCGCGAGUCAUUGGGACCGCACUAAACCUAAAGGCGUAACGAAAGUGAAGGCCGGCCGUGGCGGCACGUCGACCCACGGGGAGGCGCGCUCGCUCGCCGCCGAGGGGGGAUGCGACCCGUACUUAGCGACGCGGUCGCCGCACCCCCGGGGCGUCUCGUUGUCAUUGCGACACAGCAGGCGCACCCAGAGCGCACACGUUGGGACCCGAAAGAUGGUGAACUACUGGCGUUCGGAGCAUGACAAAAAGGCGGCGCCGAGGUCAGCAAUGGCCGGAGCCCGCGCGUAACCAGUCUCAUCUGGUAAAGCGAAUGAUUAGAGGCCUUGGGGCCGAAACGACCUCAACCUAUUCUCAAACUUUAAAUGGGUGAGAUAUUCGACUUGCUCGAAUCGAUGAAGUCAAAUAUUAAAUGACUGGAUGAACGAGUGCCAAGUGGGCCAAUUUUGGUAAGCAGAACUGGUGCUGUGGGAUGAACCAAACGUCGAGUUAAGGCGCCUAAAUCGAUGCUCAUGGGAUACCAUGAAAGGCGUUGGUUGCUUAAGACAGCAGGACGGUGCGAUGUUGAUGUGCUGUCGAAAUACAAAUGGAUAAAAAAUUCGUAUGACCACAUCGGGCGAAAGGGAAUCCGGUUCCUAUUCCGGAACCCGGCAGCGGAACCGACCAUGCGGGCCAAUGUCGCGCGAGCGGCAACUCGUCGGGGUAACCCAAAAGGACCCGGAGACGCCGUCGGAUGAUCGAGGCAGAGUUUUCUGUUCUGUAUGAGCGUUCGAGUUCCCUGGAAUCGCCUAGCGCGGAGAUAGGGUUUGGAACGCGAAGAGCACCGCACUUACGGCGGUGUCUCGAUCUAUCCCUCGGACCUUGAAAAUCCGGGAGAGGGCCACGUGGAGGUGUCGCGCCGGUUCGUACCCAUAUCCGCAGCCGGUCUCCAAGGUCAGGAGCCUCUAGUCGGUAGAC